rnacentral:rRNA from 1 species
AUCCAGACUCCUACGGGAGGCAGCAGUGAGGAAUAUUGGUCAAUGGGAGAGAUCCUGAACCAGCCAAGCCGCGUGAGGGAAGACGGCCCUAUGGGUUGUAAACCUCUUUUGUCGGAGAACAAAACCCGGGACGAGUCCCGGACUGCGUGUAUCCGAAGAAAAAGCAUCGGCUAACUCCGUGCCAGCAGCCGCGGUAAUACGGAGGAUGCGAGCGUUAUCCGGAUUUAUUGGGUUUAAAGGGUGCGUAGGCGGUCCGUUAAGUCAGGGGUAAAAGUGGGGGGCUCAACCCCGUCGAGCCGUUGAAACUGGCAGACUUGAGUUGGCGAGAAGUACGCGGAAUGCGCGGUGUAGCGGUGAAAUGCAUAGAUAUCGCGCAGAACUCCGAUUGCGAAGGCAGCGUACCGGCGCCAGACUGACGCGGAGGCACGAAAGCGUGGGGAUCGAACAGGAUUAGAUACCCGUG